rnacentral:rRNA from 1 species
UACGUAGGGGAGCAAGCGUUGUCCGGAAUCAUUGGGCGUAAAGCGCGCGUAGGUGGCCACAUAAGUCCGUUGUGAAAGUCAAAGGCUCAACCUUUGAAAGCCGAUGGAUACUGUGUGGCUAGAGUACGGAAGAGGCGAGUGGAAUUCCUGGUGUAGCGGUGGAAUGCGCAGAUAUCAGGAGGAACACCAAUAGCGAAGGCAGCUCGCUGGGACGUUACUGACACUGAGGCGCGAAAGCGUGGGGAGCGAACAGG